GACGAGGGAUCCUAGCGUUGCUCGGAAUCAUUGGGCGUAAAGCGGGUGUAGGUGGCUUUGCAAGUCAGGAGUGAAAGCCCACAGCUUAACUGUGGAAGUGCUUUUGAAACUGCUUAGCUUGAAUGUGGGAGAGGUUAGUAGAAUUCCGUGGUGUAGUGGUGAAAUACGUAGAUAAUCAGGAGGAAUACCUGUGGAGGAAGAUCGGCUAACUGGCCCAACAUUGACAC
rnacentral:rRNA from 1 species